rnacentral:rRNA from 1 species
UACAGAGGGGGCAAGCGUUGUUCGGAAUUACUGGGCGUAAAGGGCGCGUAGGCGGCCUGUUAAGUCGAACGUGAAAUCCCCGGGCUCAACCCGGGAACUGCGUCCGAUACUGGCAGGCUUGAAUUCGGGAGAGGGAUGCGGAAUUCCAGGUGUAGCGGUGAAAUGCGUAGAUAUCUGGAGGAACACCGGUGGCGAAGGCGGCAUCCUGGACCGGUAUUGACACUGAGGCGCGAAAGCCAGGGGAGCAAACGGG